CCGCGGUAACACCGGCGGCCCGAGUGGUGAUCGUGAUUAUGGGUCUAAAGGGUCCGUAGCCGGUUGGUCAGUCCUCCGGGAAAUCUGAUAGCUCAACUAUUAGGCUUUCGGGGGAUACUGCCAGACUUGGAACCGGGAGAGGUAAGAGGUACUACAGGGGUAGGAGUGAAAUCUUGUAAUCCCUGUGGGACCACCUGUGGCGAAGGCGUCUUACCAGAACGGGUUCGACGGUGAGGGACGAAAGCUGGGGGCACGAACCGGAUUAGAUACCCGGGUAGUCCCAGCCGUAAACGAUGCUCGCUAGGUGUCAGGCAUGGCGCGACCGUGUCUGGUGCCGCAGGGAAGCCGUGAAGCGAGCCACCUGGGAAGUACGGCCGCAAGGCUGAAACUUAAAGGAAUUGGCGGGGGAGCACAACAACGGGUGGAGCCCUGCGGUUUAAUUGGACUCAACGCCGGACAACUCACCGGGGGCGACAGCAAUAUGUAGGCCAAGCUGAAGACUUUGCCUGAAUCGCUGAGAAGUGGUGCAUGG
rnacentral:rRNA from 1 species